GCUUGUCUCAAAGAUUAAGCCAUGCACGUCUAAGUAUAAGCGAUUAUACUGUGAAACUGCGAAUGGCUCAUUAUAUCAGUUAUAGUUUAUUUGAUGGUCCUUGCUACUUGGAUAACCGUAGUAAUUCUAGAGCUAAUACAUGCAUAAAGCCCUGACUGUUUGGAAGGGGUGUAUUUAUUAGAUAAAAAACCAAUCCGGCAACGGUGCUUGGUGAUUCAUAAUAACUGUUCGAAGCGCACGGCCUCGCGCCGGCGCUAGUUCAUUCAAAUUUCUGCCCUAUCAGCUUUCGACGGUAGUGUAGUGGACUACCGUGGCGCUAACGGGUGACGGAGAAUUAGGGUUCGGUUCCGGAGAGGGAGCCUGAGAAACGGCUACCACAUCCAAGGAAGGCAGCAGG
rnacentral:rRNA from 1 species